AGGAGUAUAGUUCAACGGUAGAACAACGGGCACCAACCCCGUGUGUUGUGGGUUCGAAUCCUGCUACUCUA
rnacentral:tRNA from 1 species